rnacentral:lncRNA from 1 species
AAGACCCCAUAUUGUACAAAUACAGUCCACCUCGAAACAAUUGUUUCCAAAAAAAAGAAAACAGAAAAAGAAAAGAAGUGUGCAUACGUGGGGAUGGCUCGUGCAAAAUGUGACAGACAAAGGAGUCGUAGCGUGAGCGGAAGAUCAUCACCAACGGAAUACGCUACUCUCUCUCUCUAGAAUUGGCUGCAACGGAAUACGCCACUCUCUCUCUCUAGAAUUGGCUUUAAAGAUAUUUGCUGGUAGCUGAAAGCUUCCCUUAACUGAUCUCUCCUUUCCACCGUCAAACGUUCCUUUCAAGGGUGUCUUUUCCUCCAACUUUCCAAAAUGUGAAUAUCACAUUUUAUGUUUCUUCUCAUUAUCUCACCACAUCCUCAUCAUGGACUUCUCUACACAAUAAUAUGCAAAACCCAACAUCAUUAGUCGUCAUGUAUGCAUUGUAUCAAUCAAGGGAAAAGUAUCUCCAAUGGUUGAGAUCUCAUAUGGCCAUCUCCAAUGGCCCAAAAUUAAUCUGGUAUUUUAUUAUUAUUAUUUAUUGAAAUAAGAUACUUAUAUAAAUUUUGGUUAAAUAAGUUAAUUAUCUGAAUUUUGUUGUGAAUUUUUAUGUAUGAAUAAUAAAAAUGAUUAAAAAAUAAUUUAAAUAAAAAUUACCAAAAUACAUCUAAAUUUAUUAAAAAAAUUUAUUCAAAUUUUUUAUUUAUUCAAUCUUACUCAUAAAAAUGAAACUAAAACUAACAUUUCACAUUGAUAUUAUUUUAAAUAAAAAAUAAAAUUCAUUAUUGACCUUUGGAUGAGCAUAGUUCAAUCUGGACUAUUAAAAGAUGCAUGUGCACCUUUUUAAGCGUUCACAUGACGCAAUCCCAAACCAAUUAUCACUCUCACGUGCUUCUGCAAUUGUAUGCAUGUAAGCAUUCAUGUACUAGGGGUGGCAGCUGGGUGGCUCGGCCCGGCCUUAAAAACUAAGGCCAAGGCUGCAAAAAGUGGCCCAAGGGUUGGGCCACUACGGCCCUAAGGCCGGCCUGGGCUUGAGCCUAUGCCAAAAUAGGGUUGAGUUGGUUUGGGCCAUCCCGACUUUAAUUUUUUUACCUUUUUUUUUCUUUCUUUAAUU